AUGCUUGCUUCAGCAGCACAUAUACUAAAAUUGGUAUGAUACAGAGAUUAGCACGGCCUCUGCUCAAGGAUGACAUGCAAUUUCAUGAAACAUUCCACUUAAGA
rnacentral:snRNA from 1 species